rnacentral:rRNA from 1 species
AUACGAAGGGGGCAAGCGUUGUUCGGAAUCAUUGGGCGUAAAGCGUAUGUAGGCGGUCAAACAAGUCAGACGUGUAAGCCCUCGGCUCAACCGGGGAAUUGCGUUUGAAACUGUUUGACUUGAGGGCAGGAGAGGAAAGCGGAAUUCCCAGUGUAGCGGUGAAAUGCGUUGAUAUUGGGAAGAACAUCUGUGGCGAAGGCGGCUUUCUGGCCUGUUUCUGACGCUGAGAUACGAAAGCCAGGGGAGCGAACGGGAUUAGAUACCCCAGUAGUCC